UACCAGCACCCCGAGUGGUCGGGACGAUUAUUGGGCCUAAAGCAUCCGUAGCCGGUCCUACAAGUCUUCCGUUAAAUCCACCUGCUUAACAGAUGGGCUGCGGAAGAUACUAUAGGGCUAGGAGGCGGGAGAGGCAAGCGGUACUCAGUGGGUAGGGGUAAAAUCCUCUGAUCCAUUGAAGACCACCAGUGGCGAAGGCGGCUUGCCAGAACGCGCUCGACGGUGAGGGAUGAAAGCUGGG
rnacentral:rRNA from 1 species